UACAUACUGUGCGAACGUUAUUCGGAUUCACUGGGCUUAAAGGGUGUGUAGGCGGCUUGUUAAGUAGGGUGUGAAAGCCCCUGGCUCAACCAGGGAACUGCACUCUAUACUGGCGAGCUAGAGUGAGAUAGGGGUGUGUGGAACUGCCAGUGGAGCGGUGAAAUGUGUUGAUAUUGGCAGGAACGCCGGUGGCGAAGCGACACACUGGGUCUCGAACUGACGCUGAGACACGAAAGCCAGGGGAGCCAAAGCGGG
rnacentral:rRNA from 1 species